rnacentral:lncRNA from 1 species
GCUCGAUGUCACCUGGCUGCUCGAUGUCACCUGCUGAUGGGUGUCACCCGGUGUCACGAUGUCACCCACAGUCAGAUUGUCUUCAGCCGUUCCGGUGGUGAAUGUCACCCAGUGGCACAAUGUCACCCGGAAGCGGUGUCACCCCAUGUCUCAAUGGAUGUCACCCAAUGGCGGAUGUCAUGUGCUGGCUCGAUGUCACCUGGCUGCUCGAUGUCACCUGCUGACGAGUGUCACCCGGUGACUCAAUGGAUGUCACCUGGAGUCGGGUUCUUUACAGCCCUUCCAAUGGUGGUUGUCACCCGGUGUCACGAUGUCACUUGGAAGAGGUGUCACCCCCUGGCUCAAUGGAUGUCACCCGGUGGUGGGUGUCAGUCGCUGGCUCGAUGUCACCUGGCUGCUCGGUGUCACCUGCUGAUGGGUGUCACCCGGUGUCACGAUGUCACCCACAGUCCGAUUGUCUUCAGCCCUUCCGGUGGUGAAUGUCACCCGGUGGCACGAUGUCACCCGGAAGCGUUGUCACCCCAUGGCUCAAUGAUGUCACCUGGUGGCAGGUGUCACCCGGUGUGA